rnacentral:rRNA from 1 species
GGGAAAAGCCCAGCACCGAAGCCUGUGGUCAUUUGACUACUAGGCAAUGUAUGUGGUGUUUAGGUCGUUCCGCGGAAGUGCUGCUCCACCCCAAGUCCAUCAAUCAAUGAGUACGGUAGUAUGGACAUGGCCCACAGAGGGUGAAAGGCCCGUGGGUGGGGGUGGAGAUUCGGUAGGACAGCGCUUCUCUGGGUAGACCUUGGAGUCGGGCGGGUUGUUUGAGAAUGCAGCCCAAAGUGGGUGGUAAACUCCAUCCAAGGCUAGCUAAAUACUUGCACGAGUCCGAUAGCGAACAAGUACCGUGAGGAAAGUUGAAAGAAAAGUACUUUGAAGAGAGAGUAAACAGUGCGUGAAACCGCUCAGAGGUAAACAAACGGGUGGAGUUGAACUGCAAGCUCUGUGAAUUCAGCUGAUGAGUGUGGUUUGUUUGAGCUUGGCUAUUGGUGGACAUUGGGGUCUGUGUAGUAGCAGGUCUUUCUUUGCCUUCGGGUGGAGAUGCGCGAUGCACUUAUCAAGUGUUGUGCGCCCCAGCCAGUUGUUUCCCGGCCAACUCGUCAGUGCACUUUCUCAGAGUGGUCACCAACCACGACCGGCGCGUUGUCUGGCCGCUUUGGUUAAACCGGUCUUGCAUCGUCCGUCCUUGUGGCUUUGGUCGGCGGGAUGGCAGGUAGCUCGUUGGCUUGCUUGUUUGUGGCUUGCUGCAGGCGUGGCUUUCGAGUGUAAUCAGCUGACCUUAGUGGUUGGUUCUGUGCAGUGUGUCGGAGACGGCGGCUUGAGGUGUGUGCAUGCGUUUCGUUCGGUUUGCUGACUUGUCCGGGUUUGGUUAUUUAGUUGCCUGUUAAACCAGGCAGGUCGUUUAAUGGCUCGGAUUCGUUCGGUGGACAGUUGCGUGUGUGGCAUUGAUUG